rnacentral:rRNA from 1 species
AGAGUUUUAUCCUGGCUCAGGAUGAACGCUAGCGACAGGCUUAACACAUGCAAGUCGAGGGGCAGCGGUGGUGAAGGCUUGCCUUUACCAGCCGGCGACCGGCGCACGGGUGAGUAACACGUAUGCAACCUGCCUGCCACAGCCGGAUAAUCGGGAGAAAUUCCGUCUAAUACGGCAUAAUGCAUCGACGGGACAUCCUGUUGGUGCCAAAGGUUGAUUCCGGUGGCGGAUGGGCAUGCGUCGCAUUAGUUAGUUGGCGGUGUAACGGACCACCAAGACGACGAUGCGUAGGGGUUCUGAGAGGAAGGUCCCCCACACUGGUACUGAGACACGGACCAGACUCCUACGGGAGGCAGCAGUGAGGAAUAUUGGUCAAUGGGCGGGAGCCUGAACCAGCCAAGUCGCGUGAGGGAUGACGGCCCUAUGGGUUGUAAACCUCUUUUGCCGGGGAGCAAAGUGCCGCACGUGUGCGGUUUGGAGAGUACCCGGAGAAAAAGCAUCGGCUAACUCCGUGCCAGCAGCCGCGGUAAUACGGAGGAUGCGAGCGUUAUCCGGAUUUAUUGGGUUUAAAGGGUGCGUAGGCGGACGCUUAAGUCAGCGGUAAAAUUGCGGGGCUCAACCUCGUCGAGCCGUUGAAACUGGGUGCCUUGAGUGGGCGAGAAGUACGCGGAAUGCGUGGUGUAGCGGUGAAAUGCAUAGAUAUCACGCAGAACUCCGAUUGCGAAGGCAGCGUACCGGCGCCCAACUGACGCUGAAGCACGAAGGCGUGGGUAUCGAACAGAAUGAGAUACCCUGGUAGUCCACGCAGUAAACGAUGAAUGCUAGUUGUCCGGGGCGAUUGAGUUCUGGGUGACACAGCGAAAGCGUUAAGCAUUCCACCUGGGGAGUACGCCGGCAACGGUGAAACUCAAAGGAAUUGACGGGGGCCCGCACAAGCGGAGGAACAUGUGGUUUAAUUCGAUGAUACGCGAGGAACCUUACCCGGGCUCAAACGCAGGAGGGAUGUUUUUGAAAGGAGGCAGCCAGCAAUGGUCUCCUGCGAGGUGCUGCAUGGUUGUCGUCAGCUCGUGCCGUGAGGUGUCGGCUUAAGUGCCAUAACGAGCGCAACCCCUACCUACAGUUGCCAUCGCGUGAUGGCGGGCACUCUGUGGGGACUGCCUGCGCAAGCAGUGAGGAAGGCGGGGAUGACGUCAAAUCAGCACGGCCCUUACGUCCGGGGCGACACACGUGUUACAAUGGCAGGUACAGCGGGAAGCCACCCGGCGACGGGGCGCGGAACCCGAAAGCCGGUCUCAGUUCGGAUCGGAGUCUGCAACCCGACUCCGUGAAGCUGGAUUCGCUAGUAAUCGCGCAUCAGCCAUGGCGCGGUGAAU